AAUCAACGCUGGCGGCGUGCCUAACACAUGCAAGUCGAACGCGAAAGUCCCUUCGGGGAUGAGUAGAGUGGCGUCCGGGUGAGUAACGCGUGGGUAAUCUGCCUUCGGGUGGGGAGUAACCAGUCGAAGAUUGGCUAAUACCGCAUAAAGCAACCAUUUCUAUGAAGUAGUUGUUAAAGGAGCAAUCCGCCUGAAGAGGAGCCUGCGUCUGAUUAGCUAGUUGGC
rnacentral:rRNA from 1 species